CUGUUCACGUGCCAGGUUUAGGUCUGAAGUUUUCGUCGGCCCUUGUGCUUGUCACUUGCUCUUUAGCUGAGUUUCGUGGUACGAUGGCGUUUUGUAUUUUGGCUGUUGAAUAUGUUCUUCCAACCCUACUUUGUGGCGCCGUCUCUCAUCUCCUCCUUUUCUUUUUUUCCUCUCUAUUUUCUACCUUCAUUCCUCUAGGGUUAGAUACACCUCUUCUCCUCAGACUCUCUCCGUUCCCUUCCUCUUCGUCUCUAUUUUUCAUCUCUAUUCCACUUCUCUUUUUCCCCAGCCUCCUCCACCACCCCUAUCCCAGUCUCUUCUACCCCUACCGUCUCUCCUUCCCUUCUUUGAAGGCGUUGGCCUUUCUCUAGGACCCAACAAAUUCUUCCCCACACUCAUAGCACCUGCUUUUAUCCUUAUACACUGUCGUCCUUGUAAACUCCAGGCCGUGCCAUUAUCAGAAGCUAUGGAAGCUGUUAGGGUUCUGUCAUUUAGGACUUUCUUGUCAAUUCCCUUCACAGCUUUUAUGGCAAUGUCUCGAGACACGAAGAGGAUGAAUGCGACGCCUUGGCUUUGGCGGGUGCCACUGUCUUUAAGGAUGGUGACUUUGGCUACUUUUCCAAAGGUGGAGGAAUUGUGUGAGUAGUCUGGAUUGCUCACGUAGCCUGUUUUGAUGGAGCUAGGCCUCUGCUGCCGCUGCGCUUAUUGGUGCCGGACGAGGAAAAGGAGAGCUAAUUAUGCGGUGGUGCCGUGGAGGAGUAGUGGUGGUAGAAGAUGAUCUGAAAGAAAAGCUUCAACUCCAGAUCUUCAAGCUAAAGUGGUAGAGUGAGGUUUGACUGUAACAAUUCUAAUAGCUAUAUUUUAAUUUGAGUGUUGAUACUGCUAUAGCUGAGGUUUAUAAAUCAAGUGAACGCAGUCGUGUUCUUGCUAUUUGUGGUCCUGGCAACAAUGGUGGCGAUGGUCUUGUAGCUGCUCAACAUUUAUACCACUUUGGGUGCAAGCCAUACAUUUGUUACCCCAAGCGAACUGCCAAGCCUCUCUUUUAUGGUUUUUGUUUUUUUUUUGUGUUAUUUUCCCAACUGUUUUUUACCUUCUGGGGUUCCAUAAACAAGAAAGAAGAGGAGGCGUUUCUUACUGUUUUUUUUAAUUCUUGUUGUAAUUGUUUGUUUUUUUUUGUGUUAUUUUCCCAGCUGUUUUUUACCUUCUGGGGUUCCAUAAACAAGAAAGAAGAGGAAACUAACAGUAACCUUCAAUUAAUUCUGCAUUUUAGUAGUAUAGAUCUGUAGUCCUUUCGAUUUCUGGACUCUUAUUUUUCGUUUGAGAAAGAGCUGCUAACAGUGAAGCAUCUUAUGUCCUUUAAAGUACUGCCUUCAUUAUUUUGUUAUUUUUCUUCAUUUUUUUUUAUUUUCCUUCAUGUUUGAAAGAGCCUCCAUGUUUGAAUAUAGCUAUAUUUGUCCCUUCGCUCUUAUUUUUGAGGCUCUUCAUCAAACACCACUAUUCAAAAAGAGCCUCCAUUUUUUAGCUAUAAAAGCUUCGUUUUCUCUUAUCACUAUUUCACAUCUGCCUAGCAAGUGUUUGAUAAUUGUUGUGUGUCAGGAUUUACUUCCAUGGCAGGAAAAGCUGCAGUGAAAUCUGUGGUGAAGUCAGUUGGCGAGAGAGAGAGGAGGAGGGGGAGGAAGGUUCGAUCCACUAAACUUGAAAAGGUUGUUGCAGUUAAGCAAUUGGAUAGAAAUGGGCUUUAGGGUAAC